rnacentral:rRNA from 1 species
GUCUACGGCCAUACCACCUUUAAAAUGCCCGAUCUUGUCUGAUCUUGGAAGCUAAGCAGGGUUGGGUCUGGUUAGUACCUGAAUGGGAGACA